UACGUAGGCAGCGAGCGUUGUUCGGAAUUACUGGGCGUAAAGAGUGUGUAGGCGGUGCUCUAAGUUCGGUGUGAAAUCUCCUGACUUAACUGGGAGGGUGCGCCGGAAACUGGAGUGCUCGAGCGUGGGAGAGGAAAGCGGAAUUCCUGGUGUAGCGGUGAAAUGCGUAGAUAUCAGGAGGAACACCUGUGGUGUAGACGGCUUUCUGGACCAUAGCUGACGCUGAGACACGAAAGCGUGGGUAGCAAACAGG
rnacentral:rRNA from 1 species